AGGAGCUUGCUCCUGGAUUCAGCGGCGGACGGGUGAGUCAUGCCUAGGAAUCUGCCUGGUAGUGGGGGACAACGUUUCGAAAGGAACGCUAAUACCGCAUACGUCCUACGGGAGAAAGCAGGGGACCUUCGGGCCUUGCGCUAUCAGAUGAGCCUAGGUCGGAUUAGCUAGUUGGUGAGGUAAUGGCUCACCAAGGCGACGAUCCGUAACUGGUCUGAGAGGAUGAUCAGUCACACUGGAACUGAGACACGGUCCAGACUCCUACGGGAGGCAGCAGUGGGGAAUAUUGGACAAUGGGCGAAAGCCUGAUCCAGCCAUGCCGCGUGUGUGAAGAAGGUCUUCGGAUUGUAAAGCACUUUAAGUUGGGAGGAAGGGUUGUAGAUUAAUACUCUGCAAUUUUGACGUUACCGACAGAAUAAGCACCGGCUAACUCUGUGCCAGCAGCCGCGGUAAUACAGAGGGUGCAAGCGGUAAUCGGAAUUACUGGGCGUAAAGCGCGCGUAGGUGGUUCGUUAAGUUGGAUGUGAAAUCCCCGGGCUCAACCUGGGAACUGCAUUCAAAACUGUCGAGCUAGAGUAUGGUAGAGGGUGGUGGAAUUUCCGGUGUAGCGCUGAAAUGCGUAGAUAUAGGAGUGAACACCAGUGGCCGAAGGGCGACCACCUGGACUGAUACUGACACUGAGUUGCGAAAGCGUGGGGGAGCAAAACAGGAUUAGAUACCCUGGUAGUCCCACGC
rnacentral:rRNA from 1 species